UGGUCAUGACAUUUUGUCAGCCGGUGAUUGUCAAGCAAAUAACUGCCUGUCUUGCGGUAAUUGAAUUGUUAAUUAACCUAAACACGUUUAGCAUCUCCUGGCUUCCACAUUCUAAAACAUCUAAUAAAUCCAUUUAAUAUAGCCUACACAAUCACAAUAAAUCCAUCAUUUAUCUUAGACAGGUCUAAAAGAAACACGACGUGAAGAAAAUGUAUAUUUCAGAAGAACAGAAAAGCAUACUCUUGAGUUGUUCUUAUGUUAGGCCCUGAUCUGGCUAUGCCAUAUGGCUGUGGGCUACACUAGUUCAUUUAGAAGACACGAUUUUCUUAGAAUUCCAUGCCAUUUUUUUUUUUUUUGCGCUCUAUCAACUACUUGUGGCGGGCCCAGCCGCCUGCAGGCUGACUCUGGUCGUCAGUUGAACAGUGUUUCCUCCGACACAUUGGUGCGGCUGGCUUCCGGGUUAAGCGAGUGGGUGUUAAAGAGCGCGGUUUGGCGAGUCAUGUUUCGGAGGACGCAUGACCCUACCUUCGAAUCUCCCGAGCCCGUUGGAGAGUCGCAGCGAUGAGACAAGAUUGUAAUUGGGAAGAAAAAGCCUCAGUGCCAAUAUCUUCACGAGGUGAUUGAAAAUAGAAAACCACCAAAGCGCAAGACAUUCUGACAUGAAGGUAACAUAUGGGUGAGUUACUGGACCAAUACUAUCAAAUCAUCUAAAAGCCAGAGGUUCAACUUUACAUACUUAAUUUCAUAUUUAACAAUUUGCCAAAUGCAUUGUAUUGAUUUCAACUCUAAAAGAGAUGAAUAAAUAUUCAAAUAUUAAAAAGACCACUACUUACAGCCGCUCUCCUUGUCCCUCAUCUCACCAGGCGCUCCAAAACAUAUCUCCCGUUUACUACGACCACUACGCUUGCUGCUUGCCUGCCUGCCUGCCAGCCAGCACUACUGAUUAGCCACUGAACAAACACAGGUGUGCAUCGCAUG